rnacentral:rRNA from 1 species
GGGGGGGGGGGGGGGGGGGGGUGGGGCGGGGGGGGCGAGGGGUGGCGGCCGGGCUUGUGUUGGGUUGGAUGAGUGGCGAACGGGUGCGUACCACUUGGGUAACCUGCCCUCUUCUUUGGGAUAACGCCCGGCCACGGGUGCUAAUACUUGAUAUUCACUGAUAUUCGCUUUUGGUAUGGUUGAAAGGUUUGUUCUUGUGGGGUAUGGGCUCGCGGCCUAUCCUCUUGUUGGUGGGGUGAUGGCCUACCCAGUCUUGUCCUGGUAGCCUGCCUGAGAGUGUGACCGGUCACAUUGGGACUGAGAUACGGCCCAGACGCCUACGGGAGGCAGCAGUGGGGAAUAUUGCACAAUGGGCGAAAGCCUGAUGCAGCGACGCCGCGUGAGGGAUGGAGGCCUUCGGGUUGUAAACCUCUUUCGCUCAUGGUCAAGCCGCAACUGUGGGUUGUGGUGAGGGUAGUGGGUAAAGAAGCGCCGGCUAACUACGUG